UACAGAGGUCUCAAGCGUUGUUCGGAUUCAUUGGGCGUAGAGGGUGCGUAGGCGGCGCGGUAAGUCGGGUGUGAAAUCUCGGAGCUUAACUCCGAAACUGCAUUCGAUACUGCCGUGCUUGAGGACUGGAGAGGAGACUGGAAUUUACGGUGUAGCGGUGAAAUGCGUAGAUAUCGUAAGGAAGACCAGUGGCGAAGGCGGGUCUCUGGACAGUUCCUGACGCUGAGGCACGAAGGCCAGGGGAGCAAACAGG
rnacentral:rRNA from 1 species